GUGCUCGCUUUGGCAACACAUAUACUAAAACUGGAACAAUAUAAAGAAGAUUAGCAUGGCCCCUCCGAGGGUGGCACACAAACUCAUGAAACAUUCCUUAUUUUU